CCUGGAAUAAAAGGAGGAUGGAAACAUAAUUCAGUUGAAUGAAUUUUAGCUAAUACAGACUAUAUAUUUUCAAAUAUCAUUUCUUCCUCAAGUACUGUUGUUAGUUAGAAUCUAAAGGGAGAAGUAAGGCAGGGGUAGAAAUAGCUAUUGUGCAUUUGCAUUUUAAGGAAAAUACAGUUAUCGCAAAGUCCAUCCAUUUAUUCUGAAUAAAUUAUUCUGGAGAAGGAGGUAUAGUUAAGACAAACCCAGGGAUAGUAUCUAAUUGCCAAGUUUCUUUUUCACUGCUCCCAAUCCCCUCAGUAAUUUUAUUUCAAAAUUUGAGAAUGAAUAAAGGGAAACUGAAGGAAGAAAAUGUUAUAAGUGGAAAACUUUUUUGGUCUGUAGUGUCUAUGUAUGUCCAUGAACUACCUUGUUAGUGAGACAAAGACAGAAAGGCUUUCAAGAGAAAACAUAAAAUGAAUGGCAGAGUCACUAACAGUGGAGUUUGUCUUCAGAUAAUCUCUUUCCUUUCUAUUUUCAGAUUUAGGGUCUAAGGGCCAGAGAGUUGCUAAAGCUCUUACUCCCUGUUUAAGAUCUUUCUCUCCCAUCAGUUACCUCGCAACUUCAAAUAGACGCCCGGGUGAACCAUUCCUCCCUUGAGCCCUUUAAGCCAUAGCUUUUAAUGCAGUGCCCGACACACAGAUGCUGGCUGCCCUGGCUCAGAAGCAGUUGCCAAAGGUCUCUGCAGGGAAAGCUGAGUCUAGACCGGAGGUAGUAAGGAAGGAAAAGGCCCAAGAUGAAGGAAGACGGGAAGGGAGCUGGGCCCUGUUAGGCAAAUGAGCCUGUCUUCCUCCCCGAGUCCCCAUUGCAGCCAGUGGCAAACAGCCAGGCACUAGUUAUUGCUCCUUUGAUUUAACCAUCUCCUCGGGCAUGGGGAGAAAUGAGUUUUAUAUGAAAACAUUUACUAUAGGAGAACCAAGGUGUAAUAAAAAGAAAGAAGUAAUUUCUUCCCUCUUGAUCAGAUUUCUAGUCCCCUAAGAAUAGUGAUUUUCUUAGAACCCCCAGGAAACCUCUAGCUAAAGUCAUUCAGUAGCAUGAAAAACUGUAACUAGCACCUUUCUAGAUUAAACAAAUAGAAAAACAUUGCUAGCAUAUAUUUACAGGAGAUGGUUAAUAUCCUAAUUUAAAAUUUCUACUGCAAGUAUUCUCAGAAAGAUGGCAUUUUCCAAAUGGAUACUAAGAGCAGAGGGUGAGAUGAUAACUUAUUUCAACAGAGAAUCAUUGCAAAGGUUAAAUUAGGGAUCCUUUACAAAAAUAAAUAAUUGUAAAUAACUAACAAGAAGACCCAGAUUUUCAUUAAUUUAAAAUUUUAUCUUACAUGGUUGAAUUAGGGUCUCUGAUUUCAACAUUACCAUUUUUAUAAAACAAUUCCUCUGUGACUUUUUCAUAAUAUGAUUUGCUUUCAUUAUGGAAAUAAUAAUAAUAACUAUUGUUUGUUAAGUAUUUUUCAGUGGUAGGCCCUGUGCUAAGCACAUUGCACACAUUAUUUCAUUUGAUGACUGUAACAACCUUGUAAAAUACAUAUUCUUAUCUUAGGAUAAGCACUGAGAAGUUUCUUGGCUGAAGUCAUUUGCCUGAAUUCACCCAGCUAGUGGUGAGGCCAGUAUUCAAAGCCAGGGCCUGACCCACCAUGCUGGGUGUAUUUGGUGGAUACAGGAGCCCACUUGCUUGUUCACUGAGUGAGUCCUCUGCUUCAGGACACAGCACAAGGUGAUGUACAAGGGCUCUGCUUCCAUGGAGCUUAUACUCUGCUGGAGUUCAGACACCAUACAUUUCUGAUAGUGAGUGAGCAAAUAAAAAACAGCAGGAUGUAAAGAGGUCCACUGAGGGUCCCUGGAGGUUGGAUGGUGAGGGAUAGUCUCUCUGAAAAGGAGACAUCUAGGCUAAAAACACAUUUCUAGGAAGAAGCCCCCCCAUGUAAAGAUCUGAAGGAAGCAUGUUCCAGGCAGAGCCCUUGAGAAGCCUGGUGUGAGGCUUUUAUGAGAUGGCUGUGUGCUCUGGGAUCAUGAAACUUCCAAGUUACUCAGUCCAUGUGGGAUUCAGGCUCAUAUGUCUGUUCGUAGAGUACACAAUGCUGAAAGAUGUGCUGGACACAGGGUCUUACCAAAAAACGAUCCCCACAGGGCUGCCUUUGCUGGAAAGCAUGAGGAUCUGUCCCUGCCCAGAGAUGAAAGUGCCAAAGAAGCACAUGAUCACCUUUGUAUCCAGUGCCCAGAGGGAUGGAGGUUCCCCACUCCCUUUUUUGCUAGGUAGACUUCAAGAGAGCUGUGUUCUACAGGCUUGCACGAGCUCCUUUCAUACAUUAGAGGAUAAGGCAGAUCAUUUCUUAAUAACAGACAGAAAAAUGAAAAGCUACAGGACAUAAUCCUUAAAAUGGGAAAGGAAUGGCAAGUACCUAUUUCAAUCAUAGUUGGCAGGAAGUCACAUAAUUUGUGGGGAUGGAAAUUAAAAUAAAAUAUUUAAAAAUAGAUCGAUGGGUUUUAGUUAGAAUGAGCUAGUAAUAAUAACACAUUAUUAAUUGUCUCUGCUUUACAUUUAUAGUUAAACAUGGGAGCUAGGAGUAUGUUAGAAGAAAAGAAAUAUAUGAUCUUAGGGAAUUUGGGUCAUUUAAAUAAAUACUAACAAGUGAAUUGACCUUGUACGAGUCAUUUAACCACUCAAUUUCUUCAUCUAUAAAAUGAAGCAUUUGGAAUAGAUUUGCCACAGUACUCAAUUCAGAUGAUUUAUUUCUACCAUCUUUCCACGAAAAAAAUGUAUUGUGUAUGUGAAUGACCUUGAUAUCAUUUUGAAUAAAACAAGUUCAACCAAGUUCCCCCUUUUCAGCAUCUAACAGGGUGCUCAGAGAAGAGUGUUGCUUUUCAAGUCCACCUAUCCCGACUCCUUCUCUAUUAUUUCUAAGAGAUGAGUGCAUUUUAUAACUCUAAGAGAAAUUAUAAUAUAUUACAUAAUAAUAUCUAUUAUUUAUUGAAUACCUACUAUUUGCGAGGUAUUUGAUAUCUGUUCUUUCAUUUAAUCUUCACAAGAAAACUGUGAAACUAGUUGUUUUUUAUUAUCCCCACUUGGAAGUAAGAUUCAUUGUCACACAGUUAAUAAAUGACAAGUUAGAAUUAAAACCCAGGUUUGUUUUAUUCCAAAGCUCCUUCCAUGACAGGAUACAUGGAGCAGCCAUAGCUGCCAACACUGACAUUUUCUUUUACCUUUUUGAGUUCUACACAACAUUUUUCUUUAAAUGUUUUGGAGGAGAUUGUUGAUGAGUUUGUGGAAUGUAGCUAGACUGACGUAGGUAUCUGCCUAAAUGGAAUAGCUUGUGGCAGUCCAGUGCUUUCAUUGAGAAUAACUAGAAACUCUGGAUAAUAUUCCACAAAACCAAAAUUAAUUUGGAGGCAUUAGGACACUUGGAGAGUUCAGCCACGGAGAAGGAGCAAACCAGAGGUUGAAGGAGUCUUGCAAAAUGGAAGAUGAGUUGUAGAUCAGCUCAGCCCCAUUUAACUGAAGAGAACUUUCCCAACUCUAUCAAAACAACCAGAAGGUAAGACAACCCCUGUCUGUAGAAAAGUAACAUCAUCCCGCACCUAAAUGAAUAUCUAUAUGGAAAAAGGAAAAUCAAAACUUGACCUCUAUUUAGCAUCAUUCCCCCAAAUUCUUUCAGAUUGAUUGUGGAUCUAAAUGUGAAAACUUACACAUUUGCGCUUUCAGGAAAAAGAAAAUCUCCAUGAUUUUGGGAUAGGCAAAGAUUUUGUAAAUGGGACAUAAAAAUAAAAAAACUUGUGUUGCAUUAAAACUAAAAACCAUAAAAAGAGUGGAGAUGCUAGCCAUAGAUUGAGAAAAUAUUAGCAAUAUGGAUGACAAAGAACUUGUAUCCAGAAUAUAUAAAAAUUUCCACACAUCAAAAAGAAAAAGAUGGAUGAUCUAAUAGAGAAAUGAGUAAUGAUUUCAACAGGCAUUUCACAAAAGAGGAUAUUUAAAAUUGCCAACAACUAAAAAAUAAAUCAGCCAGGUGUGGUGGUGCAUGCCUGUAGUCUCAGCUACAUGGGGGGCUAAGGUGGGAGGAUCUCUUGAGCCAGGGAAGUCAAGGCCACAGUAAGCCAUGAUCGUGACACUGCACUCCAGCCUGGGGACAGAGAGAGACCUUGUCUCAAAACAAAAACAAAAAGACAAAAAGAUCAACAAGUGUAUGAAAAAGUGCUCAAUCUCAUUAAUCAUUAGAAAAAUUCAAAUUGAAACUUAUGAUGAACUAAAACUACAUACCACUAGAAUAGCUAAAAUUUAAAAGACAUAAAUCAAAAUGGUGGUGAGCAACUGAAAUGCUCAUGCACUGCUAUGGGAAUAUAAAUUGGCAAAAUCACUUGGGAAAAAGAUUUGGCAGCAUGUGCUAAAGCUGAAUAUUUGUAUACCCUGUGACCCAGAAAUCUUACUUACAGGCAUAUAUACAACAAAAGUCCAUGCAUAUAUUCACCAGAAGACAUGAACUUGAAUGUUCAUAGCAGUACUAUUAAUAAUAGCCAUGAAAAGGAAAUAACCUCAAUGUCUAUCAACAGCAAAAUGGAUAAAUUGUGGGAGGCAAACAAUGAAACCCUAUAUAGCAAUUAGAAUGAUCUAAGUUUUGCUCAGGCAAUCAAUCUCAGAAUCAUAAUGUAAACAACACAACAAAAAUUACUAUAUGAUUUCAUUAAUAUAAAAACCGAAGCCCAGACAAAAUUAAUACUUCAUGUUAGAAAUCAGAAUAAUGGUUAUCAUGAGGCAGUGGCUGGGUGGGGGAAGGCAUGACUCUGAAGGGACAUUUAGGGUGCUUCUGAAUGCAAGUAGUAUUCUGUUUUGUGAUCUGGAUGCUGACUACUCAGUUGCGUUCAUUCUGUGAAAGUCCAUCACUCUGUACAAUUAUAAAUUGUGCACUUCUCUAUAUGUUACACAUCAUUAAAAAGAUUAUUUUUAGAACAUGUGAAUAGAAAAAGAUGAAACUUUAGUCUGGAAAGAUGACAACUCCAGGGAAUUUAUGAGCUCAAAAUAUAUAAAAUCAGGAAAGUUCACUAUCUCUUGUCAUACAUUGUACCAGUAGGAAAAUAAAAUAAUAAAAAGAAAGACAAACAGUGAGAGAAAACAAUAAGAUAAUACAAAUCAAUGUACUCUGCAGGGGGAGAAUUGUAGUUGGGAAGGCUGGGAUCAAUUUGGCCAGUUAUUUCUAAAUUAAAAGUCAACACUGGAUUAUUUGCCAAUGACUUAGUGAACUUUCCAUAUAUGUAUUUUGGCUUACCAUAUCUUAGAAGUGAAAUAUUGAAUGUUUUUGCAAGUGGUCCAUACCAAGGCAAUCCAAAUACAGGGACUACUUAUCAUCUUAAGAAUGCCAUGCAAUUUCACCAUCCAUCCAGCCCUUUGCUUAGUAUCCACUGUUUCUUGUCCUCACUUUUAACCACCCACCUUCCCCAAAUUAUUUCUUGUAGCUCUUUUGUGCAUCAAGUCCUUGAACAAUGUUUCCUCUUUAUUUUUUAAAAUUGUAUGUUUCCAUUUCAGAUUUUCCCUAUGUAUCUUGAACAAAUUCAUCUAUAGUAUGCUUGUAGUUUAGUGUAUAGGUUUAUGUCUGUAUGAGAAUCUCUUGAUUUUUAUGGGAUAUGUUUUCUGUGUUAUUAAGGAAUUAUUAUGCAUAUGGAAAUGUAUACAGAUAUUUGUAUAAAUGAGUAGAUAAGAGGGACAAGAUGUAUUAAUAUGAUAAUAUGUUAGGAAUUUAGCUACCAAACAGGCUAAAGUGGGAAAUUAAGGAAAUUUUUCUUAUAAUUAAAGAAAAAGUCAAUUAUUCAGUGAAAGUCAGAAUUUUUGUGGCAUUCUGUAGCAAACAGAUUUAUUGGAUAGCAGACAAAGCUUUAAAUCAUUCAGUUGGAUUGAACAUAGAUCUUUCCCAUUAAAACAGCAUGGAAUUGUAAGACUGACUAUGGGUCACAUAGAACUCUACACUUAAUAACCUAAGAGAAGCUCUUUAACAAAGAUAACUAACAGGUAUCAGCUACUUCAAUUUUAAAAUGAGGAUAGUAAUUACUACGCUGAAGGGUUUUUUUCUUCUUCCAUUGUACUUGGUUAAUGCCUCUAUGGUAGCAUUGCAUGAGUAUGGGCUUCCCAAUGGUAAGGGCAUGGUCUUAUCAAUCACUCCAUACCAAGCAUUUAGCAUGUUCUCUGGCAUAUAUCAUAUGCUUCAUAAAAGUCUGUUGUUGGCCGGGUGCAUUGGCUCACGCCUGUAAUCCCAGCACUUUGGGAGGCCGAGGCAGGCAGAUCACAAGGUCGGGAAUUUGAGACCAGUCUGGCCAGCACAGUGAAACCUCAUCUCUACUAAAAAUAAAAAUUAAAAAAAUUAGCCAGUGUGGUGGUGUGCGCCUGUGAUGCCAGCUACUCAGGAGGCUGAGGCAGGAGAAUCGCAUGAACCCAGGAGAUGGAGGUUGCAGUGAGCCGAGAUCAUGCCAUUGCACUCCAGCUUGGGCGACAGUGCAAGAUUCCAUCUCAGGAAAAAAAAAAAAAGGAGAACGAAAGAAAAAAGUCUGUUGUUGAGUGAUGAUUGAGAUAACAUAUAAAGUACCUAGUAUUGAACUUAGCAUGCCAUUGACCCUCGUUUAAUAUUAUCAGCUUCUUUCUCUGCCUUCUUUGUUAUUCUGCAUCUAGAAAGUAGAAUGGCUCAAUUCUUAGUUUAUUUCUAAGCCAUCAGGUCCCAAGACUAGCAAGCUACCCAGGGAAAUUUUGCUGAGUUCUUAAAAUUUUAUGGAGUGCAAAGGAUAUAGCUUACAUGUAUGUUCUCAGAGAAGCCCAUAUGGUAAAAUUAUGAAAAAAAAAAACAGAUCUUAUCCUGUUCUAUGAUAGUACAAAAGAUGGGCUUUGGUAUCUUAAAAUGGUGCCUAAUCAUUGCAGCCUUUUCUCCUUUCUCUUGGACAAUCAUUGAAUGAAGAGUAAUCUGCGAUGCUAUUUGCAUCAUCCAAGAUGUUUCAAUUGUUAAUAGAAGAAUGAGGGUGGAUUUUCACAGGCAAGAUGAUUUCUGAUUGGAGAAGCAAUGAGAAUGUAUCCAUGAAGGUCAGAUGUUUAUUUUUAAGCUUCAUGAAAAGUUCUGUACUUGUCUGAAGCAAAUAGGAAAGAGAAAGUCGUUUGCGGUCUUAUGAAAUUUCUGAACUUCUCAUGGGAAAGUAGCUGACGUCAGUGUUUGAUAAGUUUCCCGUGGCUACAGGCAUGAGAGACACUGAGAAAAAUGUAUCUUUCUCUUCACAGAGUCAUAGUGUACCUGAAGUUUGAGCUGGGUAUAACUACCACUCAUCACGAAAGACCUAGUGUAGAUAAUAAAAAGUCCAAAGUUUGUGAAAAGGUAGUGGCAGUUGUUUCUCUUGCCUUCAUCAUCGUAAUCAUCACCACUGCCACUACCACUGUCAUCAUUAUCAACGAGCACUGACUGUUGUUUGUAAGGCAUGAUGUUAAGUUACCUAAGUUUCAGCAAGUGAUAAGAAAUGGUGCACUUAAUUUUUAUGUAUAUUAAAUUUUCCAAUGGAUGCAGUCUUCUGGUUCUCUUCUGCCUGUGUUCCUGUGUAUGGCUUCCUAAAUAAAUAGAACUUAUCAAACAGAAGCAACUAUGAAGAUUAGAACCCUCAUGGUUGAGGAGGCAAAGCUGAGGAAACAGGAUGGACAUCUGAGCAAGGGUAAGAGUCAUAUCAUUUAUCUUUUUUUUUUUUUUUUUUUUUUUGAGAUGAAGUCUCACUCUGUCACCAGGCCGGAGUGCAGUGACGCGAUCUCAGCUCACUGCAACCUCUGCCUCCCAGGUUCAAGUGAUUCUCCUGCUUCAGCUUCCUGAGUAGCUGGGAUUACAGGCACCCACCGCCACACCUAGCUAAUGUUUGUAUUUUUAGUAGAGACGGGGUUUCACCAUGUUGGCCAGGCUGGUCUCGAACUCCUAACUCAGGUGAUCCGCCUGACUCGGCCUCCCAAAUUUCUGGGAUUACAGGUGUGAGCCACCUCGCCUAGCCUCAUUUAUCUUUUAUCUGUAGAAUUUAGCACAGCCUCCAGCAUAUAGGAUAAACUUAAUAAUGUCCAGUUUGGCCAAAUUGAACCUCUUUAAUGCUAUUAGACUCUCAAUUUUUGACAAUCUCAUCAAUAAAGGUUGUACUUAGAAAUUUUCGAUAUUCACAAAGAAAGAGUGUCUCAAGUCAAUAAAUUCUAGUUCAGGCUACACGUCAUCACGAUCGGAUUAUCUAUUGUGCAAUUAAGUCAACUCUGAAAAAUUUAGGCACACUUUAUUGAUGUAAUAAAUUCAUUUCAUGUUCCUAUUUAUAAUAUGUUCUUGUUUGUUUAAAGUAUGCUUAAAACUUUUUCUAAUGUUAGUUUUGACUACUGAUUGAAAUUUAACUACCUAAGGACAGGGCCAUAUAUUUCCUUUAUGGCCAGUUGCUUAAAGCAAGCAAAAAACAAAGCAAAAUAACACCCUAAGUGGAAUUAUCCUGUUCCUCUUUCCCACGUUCCAACCAACUGGCAUUGCCCACCUCUCCUCUCUGCCACAGAGCUGUGCAGUAAGACCUAAUCCAGAGCCUUGAGCUCAGUCGGUGCCAAGCAUGAAACACUGACAGAGAGAAUCUGGGCAGCAGCAGGACACAGGGCUCAGGUCAGGAUCUAGAAUCACCUUGUCCUACCCUUGCAACCAAAAGCAAAACCAUCAGUAUGUGUAGCCUUGAAAAAAUUCACUAGAUGUCAUUCCUCAGCAUUUUAAAGAAAGGCAGGCAGUACUUUAUCUCUUUGCACAUUCAGCUGAAAGAGUAACUAGUGAAGGCUGCAAGCCCAUAGAUUAGAUACAGAGGCCUUUGCACUAGAAAACUGGUAAAAUAUCACACUCACUCUGUCUGUUCAUCAUCACCCAGAUAUCCAUCUGUUAAUGUCUAGGAAGCUGUGGACAUCGGCAAACACAGCAAAAUAACAAUGCACAGGGGACCAUUUUGUGCACAGGGCCCUGGGAAGGGCCAGUGGAAUUCCUCUGAUCAGUCUCCUUUUGACUUUUUCCCAUAGACCUUGUUCCUGCACUGAAAUGUCUGGAAUGUUUGGUAGGGAUGAAGUGGGUUGGUCACAGGGCAAUUAUGCUUCUAUCAUCAAUCAGAUCAGCCAUUUGUGGGCUGAUUUCCAAGUGCCUAGUGACAUCACAAAUGGGUUAAGAAUACAAAUACAUGGCCCUUUUACAGUAAACAGGGCUUGCAUAUCUCUAUUCUUAAAUGAUUUUCAUAGAAACCCUGGAGGUCAGUAAGACAAGUAUUAUUGGCAACAUUUUAUAAAUAAGACCUAGAAAGGCCUAGAGAGGUUAAAUGGUUUACCCAAGGCUUCUCAGCUAGUGAUGGGAGGAGCUGGGUCUCCAAAUCUGUUCUUUUUGUAGAACACCAUUCUGCCUGUGUUUGAUUAGUUAACAACUAAGUCCAUUUAGCAGGAGCUGGUUAUUUUUUAUUUUAGGACAAAUCAAUCACUACAUCUGUUUUUGGAUAUUGGAAGAAUCCACUGCUCGAUUUCUAACUGCCAUCAUGGGCUAAACAGUUUUCAUAUAAUUAUCUCAAGAACUGAUCCUUUGUGGCCCUUGCAAUCUGGCCUGUCUUUGCAGUAAUCACACAGCAGAGAAAGUGUAACAAGCGAUAAAUACUUCAAGCAACCGUCCUAAUCUCAAAGCAUUUGAACAUCAAAAUAGAUCUUCCAUCAGGUAUGGUGGCCCACCACAGCAGCUUUCUAUGUGGAGUUCUGAUCACAGUAUUGUUGCUACUCUGACGUAUCAUCAGAAAUGUGAGGUUUCAUGUGAUUUACUUUUUAAAAUAUUAGGAAGGAUUCAAAGCUAUCCAUAUAAACUUGAUAUUCAUUCAACUGGAUUCUAGGCAUCUUUCUUCCGUGGAAGAAAAAGGCCUAUUUGUCUUCCUCUAAGUGGGUCUUUUCUGUGAAUGUCAUUCCUCAUAUGGGGGAAAAGUUUGAGAUUUGCUCUUCUACUAUUCCUAUCUCAUGAGACAAAAAGUUAGGCCCCGCUUGGGAUUCUAUUUCCAGUUAUUAAAUGGGAGUUGCUAAGGAGACAGCAGAGAUGGAGAAAGACAAGGUCACUGCUCUCAGAGGGCUAACACUCUAGUGGGCAAAUAAAUAUUAAAUUAUUUAUGUCAUAUUCACUUCUGUAUCCCCAGUGUCUAGCAUAGCUCUGAUCACAUAGCAGUUUCUCAAUAAAUGUGUGUUAAGUGAAUAAAUAAGUGAGGUCUCCAGAAGCUCAAUUUUUUCCACUUCUAAAUCUUGAUGGAAACAUCAUUCUCCAGUGCCCUUCUUCCCAGGGCUACACUGAAAACUGACACAAGGUGGACAAUGAGAAUCUCACUGAAGAAUAGUACUGCUGUUUUUAUUGGUAAUACAUUAGCUGGUUGAUGGUAACGUGGACAGUAUCAAACUUCAGUCUUACGUGGCCACAAACUUAAACCCAAGCUGCUAUCUUUUUUAAAAUGUGGAAUUUUAACCAGAUGAAGGAUAACGUGCAGAUACAGAUGGGUUAAUGAAACCCAUUUCCACAUUAAUAAGAUAUUUCAUAUUGAACAUCCCAUAAUGUUUAUCUCCAAAGGAUAGUAUUUUUAAACACAGCAAUGCUUCCAUUCAUAUGCCAAAAAAAUCCCCCCAAAACCAGAAGUUUCACUGGGUUCAACAUUCAUAGCUAAGUGGAUUGAAUUAAGUGAAAAAGAUAAAUUAAUUCAAUAAAAAUUUUUGGCAGUUGCCACCAAAUAACUGUUGGGGAAUUCUUGGUCUCUGUUGAAAUGGCAAUUCUGGCAUUAUGCAGACACAGUUAUAGGCUAAAUAGAGCUGAUAAGUGUAAAACACGUCUUGCAGCUUCAUAAGGAAAAGUUCUAAAACAUACUGUCCAGAGACAAGACAAUAAUUCUUAUAUAUCUGGCACAUAAAGAUGUGAUUGUGACAAAUUACUUUUAAAGGGUUAAAAAACAAAUAACUGUGAAUAACUUAAAAUAACUAAGCUUGCAUAGAAAUGCUACUCCAGAACCUUGAGCAGAGCUACAACUACAUUAUGUGGAAUACACUUGAAGAGUGAAGGAAGAAACCAAAAAAAGGAAAAACCUUAAACUUAGCCAGAAUUUAAAUGAUAUUGAGGCUGCACAGAUACUUAGGUUGUUUUGCGAGUGUAUUUCUCCCGCUGUCUGUCUGUGUUCCUUCAUUUCCCGAUGUGGCUUAAAAGAAAAACUCAGAUAUGAAAAUCAAAACUGCCCUUAUUAUGUUCUUAGGCUGUUUGAACCCAAACAAGGGAAAUCCAGGAGUGUGGGAACUUGAUCAUAAGAUCCAUGAAUAAGCAAUCACAUUUUCACACAACUUUAUACCCCACAGUAUCUCAGGCAGCACUUGACAAUUAUUCAUUGCUGGUUUUCCAGACUGCUUUUAUUUCUAUUUCACUCUACUGAAAAAGGUCCCAAAUUGUUACAGGUAGUCAGUCAUGAGCAGGGAGCAGGAGAGGGCUCUCCCACCACCCACUAGAAAUGUCAGGUGAUGGUUUGGCAAUUAUCCCUUUGCCUCUCUAAAAAUGAUAAUUCACAGCAGCCAGAAAGAGACAAUCUCCUGAUGGUCCAUACCUGUUAACAUUUAAAAGUGUUAACUGAGUGCAGACCCCAGAGAGAAACAGCUUUCUGGAAAUGCAUAUUAAGAGACAAAAAUGACGAAGUAAGAUCUCCUGGGUACUCUCUGCUGGAAGAAGGAAGAAAGCCUCAGAUGGGCAUGUGUAUAACUCCCUAAAUACACUGCGCGUGCGCAUUUCUCAAGCGUAAGAAGGGCUGUGCGCAUGCCCACCCUACGGAAGACGCAUGGGGAAAAGACGGGCUUAUAAAAGUCCUAGGAUCACGGUUAUACGGGACACUCGACCUUCUCUCUUUAACACUCACGUGCCUGCUUGGAUGUCUUCCAAGCGCGCCUUUCUUUCCUGUUCUAAAGCCUUUUAAAAUAAACUUCCACUCUUGCUCUGAAACUUGCCUCUAUCUCUUUUUCUGCUUUACACGCCCCUCAGUUGAAUUCUUUCUUCUGAGGAGGCAAGGACUGAAGUUGCUGUGGACCCCUACAGAUUCGCCGCCGGUAACUCGCAGAUAACUCGGAUCUCUUCCACUAACAAAAAUCAUCAAAUCUCUAGAAGUUAUGCCAUCUCUGAGUGCUAUAUAGAUAUACAUUUUAUUAUAGAAAGUAUACAAAUAUGCAUUUUAUUAUAGAAAAUACAGAAAUUAUGCAGAGACCGGGUGCGGUGGCUCAUGCCUGUAAUCCCAACACUUUGGGAGGCCGAGGUGGGCAGAUCACGAGGUCAGGAGUUCAAGACCAGCCUGGCCAAGAUGGUGAAACCCCAUCUCUACUAAAAAUACAAAAAAAUUAGCCAGGCGUUGUGGUGGGCACCUGUAAUCCCAGCUACUCGGGAGGCUGAGGCAGAGAAUUUCUUGAACCUAGGAGGCGGAGGUUGCAGUGAGCCGAGAUCGCGCCACUGCACUCCAACCCGGGCAACAGAGGAAGACUCCGUCUCAAAAAAAAAGAAAGAAAUUAUGCAGAAAAUAAUUCUAAAGUCUCUUUUCAUCCUUCCCACCCUGAGAUUACUUUAAAGUUUCAAUAUAUUUCCUUCCAGUCUUUUUUUUCAACAAAGGUAAGAUUCUAUUUUAAAAACAAAUGUGAUGUUAUGCACUCAAUUUUUUCACUUAUUAUAUUAUACAUAUUUUUUACACAAUUUUUAAAACAUGAUAACUUUACAGUUAUAUGUAAUCAUUCCCUUAUCACUGGACACUGAGAGUAUUUCAGGUUUGGGCUAUUAUAAGUAGUGCUGUGAUGGACAUUCUUGUACAUAAAUCUUGAUCACUAAAUCUCUACCACUUUGUUUUUGCAUUGCUAAGUAAUGUAGAGCUUAGUACUCUAUCAGCGGCUCUCAGGGGAAUCAAACUGAUCAUAAUUUUCUUUCUGUGAACUCUUCUUGUUUCCACAUACACCACUGGAGAAGUUGGAAUAUUUGUAGUUGAGUUACAGUAAAUAACAGGAAGACAAAAUGGUAAAGACUUCUAUUGUCAUUAUUCACUGCCAAGAUUAUAGAAGCACCAAAAAAAAUAUAUUGCCUUUAAAAAUCUGGUUUGAGAUCAUAUCCUUCUCAGGGACAUGGAUGGAGUUGGUGGCCAUUAUCCUUAGCAAACUAACGCAGGAACAGAAAACUAAAUACUGCUUGUUCUCACUUAUAAGUGGGAGUUAAAUGAUGAGAACACAUGGACACAUAGAGGGGAACAACACACACUGGGGCCUAUUGGAGGGUUGAGGGUGGGAGGGGAGAGAGGAUUAGGAAAAAUAACUAAUGGGUACUAGGCUUAAUACCUGGGUGAUGAAAUAAUCUGUAUAACAAACCCCCGUGACACACAUUUACCUGUGUAACAAACCUGCACAUCCUGCACAUGUAGCCCUGAGCUUAAAAAUUAAAAAAAAAAUAAAGAUCUAAUUUUUAAGAUUGACUGAUGCCUUGAUAAAUGAGAUAAUUCAAAGGUGUAGCAAAUUAAAUUAUUAAAAUCAACUGCAUUAUAUUUGGACACACACAGAGGAAGGGUGAAGAAAGAAUAAAUUCUACGAGUGAGAUAACACACAUCAUAGUAGAGCCUCUGGUGGUUUGAGAAAGCCUGUUAAGGAAAUAUCAACAGUGGAUUUAAUGCUUAGGGUGCAAGCAUUCUGAAGAUGGGUGUUAAGCUUUAUACUUUUGUUUCCUCUCUAUAACUCACAAAAAGUUCCACCACUACUCCCUGGCCCCUUUUUUUUUUCCUCAGCAAACAGGACAGAAUUGAACACAGUCCUUGUUUCCCAAGUUUUUCCCAUCUUAGCAAAUGACACCAAUAUUUACCUGGUUGCUUAAGCUCCGGACUUGGGAAUCAUUUCAUACACUUCCUCCUUCCUCAUCUACCGUUACUCCCUCUACAGUAAAUUACUAAAUCCAGGUGAUUCUCCCUUCAGGAUAUUUGCCUAAAAUGGUUCAUUUAUCUUCAUUAUUGUUGCUGUCACUCAAAUCCAAGCCACCAUCAUCUCAUCUGGACUCUUCCUCCCAACUGGUCUUUCUGUUCUAUCUUCCAGCCAUCUGCAAACAAUUACCCUUUUAAAAACAUAAAUCUAAUCAUGUCACUCCCAUGCUUAAAACAUUUCAGUAGCUUCAUAGUGCAUCUAGAAUACAGAUCCAACUCUUCCCAUGGCCUACAAUGUCGUGUAUAAUCUAGCUCAGCCUGCCUCUCCAGCUUCCUCUUGUGCCUCUCUCUUUUGUGAUCCAGUCACACAAGCUUGCUUUCAAUUUCUUGCAUGGAUCUAGAGCUUACUGGCCACAGAGACCAGAAAUGAGUCCCUCACCAUUACCUAAUGACAAAGGCAUACUUCUUACUUGGAUAAUUCUUAACCUUUCUUAAACCCACAAAGUCAAAGUUGGAAUAGUACUAAAUAAUUGCAACACCCUGAAAACACCAAUUUUUGUGUUACAGUACAAUCAGAUGAUAACGUUUUCACGUAUCCUAUCCAUUUAUUGCCAAGGUAUUGUAAAUUAAAAUUUGUUGCAUUAGACAUAGAGUUUUAAGAUGUUACUUCCACGUCAUUCUCUGUUGUAAGUCUCUGCUCUUUGUCUUCAUGUACAAUCACAAUUUGCAAUGAUAUUUAUGUUUGGUUACUUAUGUAUUUAAUAUCUGUCUUUUCUACUAGACUGAAAUCUCCAUGAGGAUGUAUUUAUUGUGUUUACUAAUGAUUCCUCAGCACUUUGCAGUUGCCUGCCAUUUAGUAGUCACUCAAUAAAUAUACAUGGAAUGAAUGAAUGGCCAACAUGUAUCUUGAAAUAAAAAUAUUUCAAAAGAGUAUCUAAUGAUAAGAUGGGGGGGGAGCUUUAUAGAUUUAUCAUCUAUUUGCAAAGAUGAGAAUAAGAGCUCCUAAUUAAGAGCUUGGCACUUGCUAAGUGCUCAAUAUUCUGAAUAAAAGAAUGAAUAUAUAGAUGAAUAAUUAUUAGCUGUCAAAGCAGAAUAUGAUAAAUCUAAAUGAAAAGCAGAUAACUGUAUCAGAGCAACCAGGGGCAGACCUAAAAGCUAUUUUCUCUGCUGCUACUUUUCUCCAAGUGUUGUAGUUUGAAAAACAGAAGGCUUAUAAUAUGCUUUUUUGGUAAUAGUUGAAUCAUGCAUUAUCUCAUUGGAUUUUCCUAAGAAUCCUAUGAUAUAGGUAGUAUAUCAUCCCCCAUUUGACAAACAAUGAAAUUAAGCCCAGUGUCUAGGAUUACUCAGAAUGUAGUGAAUCCAGAGCUCAAAUGCUGGGUUUCUAACCCACGAGAUUAAGCAACGAGAACAACAUUGGACAAUUAUGGAACAGAUGAUGCAGUUUUGUUCUGAUUUCCUCUCCUAUAUCUGUGUUAAGGUUGGCUGGGCUUUUAAAAAAUUGAUUGAGUCUUUCAAUAAGAAGCAAGCAAAUACCCAAAUCUCUCCAAGUCUUCCAGCUUAAAAAUCUGACUUUGGUCUAGCUGCGAUUCCGAAUUCUUUUUGGAUCAGUGAAUUUUUAUUUUUCUUUCCAGCCACAUUUAAAAAUAUACUCUGAGCCACAUUUGUCUCUAUUGCUUUUAAACCAGUGAGAAAAUGCUCUCAAGAAAACUGCCUUGGUGCAGAGGACCUACUCAUACACCAGCCGCGAUAUUGGCUUAUUUCCAUAUAACCUAAUAUGGUUAAGAAAAUGUUUGACUGGAACAGAGUGAGGAUUGCCAAACUUAACAACUUUUUAGUAAGAAAAGUGCCACAGAGUCCUCUGUUUAGACAUAGUGUGAUUUCAGUUCACAUGCAGUGCUUAUCUGUUCACAUCAACGAAACCAAAGUUGUAUUUCUAUGCAGUAACAAAAGCCAGACACCUGCCCCCUUUGCCCAGUCACAGGCAAGAUGAAUAAAUACAAGCUGCUCAGAAAGGCUCUUGGUGAUAGUCUAUUGAAUAUGUUGCCCUUGUUGGGUUAUAAAAACUAAGUGACCUGGGGAUAUCCAAUUCAGAUUCUGUAGACGGUCCUGAGUUUGUGUUAAAUCCGGUAGCUUUAAACAGAAGAAUGAAUGAAAAAAGUCAUCUCUAUCUGAACCUCAGUCCAUCGUGGACCCUCCAUCACCUUCCCCAAAUAACACCUUUGACUGACAUUUCUGUUUAUUCUGACUCUCAGCACUCUGAUAAAUUUGGAAUAUCAUGUGAUGUGAUAUGGUCCUCACUCUUUCCUGUGCCUGGGCCAUUGCCGUUGUCAUCUGGCCAAGUCCAGAAAGGCUUUUAAAGUCAGGCAGAUCUGGGUUUGAAUUCUGGAUUGUGCCACUUUCUUACUGGAUGACUUUGGCAAAUUGUUUAUUUGCUCCAUUGAAAAGUGGAGAAUGCCUACCUUGCAUGGUUGUUGUGAGAGGGAAAUGGGGUAACGUGUAUAACAGUAUAGAACCUGGUAUGGAGAAAAAGCUCAGCAAAUGGCAAAAAAUGCCCAUUUUCUGUUUUUACUCUCUUCCUAAUCUUACUACAUUCUGGAAAAUAGUGCUGGAUUCAUUUUCCCAACUAAGAAUGUAGCAAAUGAAUACCCAUUGGCUCCUGACAUUGUCCUGGUCCACUGAGAUAGGGAGAUCUGCCUAAGAUUUCAGCCUGGGCCAAGUUAAAGAAAAACUAAUGUCAAAACUUCUAUUGCUUCUUAGAGUUACUAAGGGCAUAAGCCCAGGGUAGAUAACUAUUGUAUUUUGUUUACAUAAAUAUCCUGACCUUGCUUUGUGGUUGUAAAAGUUGAAUGGCCCUGUCCACUCCAAAAUCACAUGGGAGAGAAUUAAGGCAAAGAGCUAAAGAGUUAAUUUUUUUCUCAAAUUAAAAUAUUUAAUUUUGAGCUGUGAUCCAGUGUGGGCUGCAUUUUAAUGCCCUUCUAUCACCAUAAACCAUUCAUCAAAGUCUGUUAAAUGCAGCAGCUUUGUGGGAAUGAAGAAAAAAAGAACUUUUCCAUGCUCAGAGUUAAGCAGGUAGAGGUUGGACUGAGGAGGUAAAUGGGUGACUGGAAUUUGGAGCAGGAGGUGACAAAAAUAUAAGGCAUCCCACCACCUUAUCUCUUUCUUGGGGAUUCUCAGAAAUAUUGAGAUGGAGGCCCCAAUUAUUUUAUUUGGAUCUGAAAUGAAAGAAUAAUCCAGGAACAAUUUGGGCAUAUCCAGGUUUCAUACUUAGGAACAAUGAACCAACAAUACAAAACCAAUAUUAUCAGUAAAAUGUCUGUUAUCAUGAUAGUUUAGGGAAUUCAGGCAACAGUGUUCGUGGUAAAAGACCUCAAUUUUAAGUCAUGGUGACACUACUAACUUGCUUUGUGACCUCAGGCAAGUCACAAACUCUGCAAAUUGGGUCUCCUAAACUGUAAAAAGUUGAAGAAUGGACUAGAAAAGCUCCGGUGUGUGUUGAUUAGGUGGGCUGGAGUACUUAGGAGAUGCUUCAGGAAGAUGAUUGGCACUUAAAGAGUUAAGAUUUGGAUAACUAGAAAGGAGGUGUGAGAAUAUUUCAAACAUGACGAAGGAGCAACAUCAGCAGAACAGAAAUACAUCAGUUGUGGUCAUGGGCAGCUGUGCUCGUGGGUGAGUACAUUCAAAAGCCUGCCUGGGAGGGUGGGAGAAAGCAGGAAUGUUGACCGGGUCCUUGGAUAUCAGUUUUGUACUUUAUUCUUUGGAGCAGACAAUAGAAUAAUAAAAUUAUCCUUAUAUAGAGAAUUUAAAAAUGCUAGUUUUGUUCACCCCUCUUUAAUUUAAAAUUUUUAAAGUAAACAGUAGUUUGGGGAGAUUUUGAGACUAAGUUUUUUUUAUAUAAACAGUAGUUUGGGAAGAUUUAAAAUCAGUUUACAGGAUGGAAUGAUACUUGAAAGGGCUAAACUAGAGUGUGUAGGUAAGUUUGGAGAUUCUUGAAACCUGAAUUAAGAUGGUGUUGGUGAAACUGAAGGAAAACAUAGCCUGAGACAUUGAGAAAUGUGCAUGUAUUUCUCCCCGGCAUACCCAGGGCUCCUCUGGUCAGUCUGUACAGGGAUCUACCCUCAGUUGCAAUGCCCUGAGCUCUGACCCCUGGGUCUAAAAAUUGAGCUAUUAAUGACCAAUAAAUCAUUUGGGAGGUUAAUCUACAGGAAGGGUCAAAACAAUUUUUUAUUGUAAGUAUAAAAUGACCUUGGGUUAUUAUGUGAUGUAAUAUUUUACAUUAAUUGCAUAAUUGAAUAUAAUUUUGCAGAUUAUACCAACCAACAAUGAACUCUAAAUGACUUCACCAAAAGGGAAAUCUUCACAUUUUUUCUGGGAAAAUAUACAUAAGAUAUCUAUAAAUCCAAAAGUUAGAGUAUAAAAUUAUCCUUAUAUAGAGAAUUUUAAAAUGCUAAUUUUUCUCACCCCUCUUUAAUGCUUAGAUAUUUUAUAGCAAUUUAAAGACCUUAAAUUACCCUAAUCACUUAUAAAAAUAAAUGCUUGGAAAGAGGAAAUCCAAACUUAAAUUUAUAGUUAACAAAGCAAAUUUAUUUUAAUGCGGGUACAUUACAUUCUCUUAACAACUCUGCCCUGGAAUGAGACAGAGCUGGAAGUGAAGUUCAGGUCUACCCAAAUGUAUGACUCCAUCUGUUUUCUAAUAAACUUGGCCAUCAUCUUAUAAAUGUUAAUUACCUUACCCCUUUUCCCAUGCUCCUUUUCCUAUCCCCCUUUCUCCCCACUUUAUCUAAAUCUUAAAGCUUUGAAGUGAUCAUUUUAGGUCAAAUAAUAGAAAAACCUCUUUCCAUUAUAAGUAUUAAACACUUGGAAUCUAUUACUUUCAAUGCUGGUACCAUGAUAAAAAUGUGCAUAGGUUCAAGAGUAGUUUAGAGAUGUUACUGCAUAAUAGAUAUUUAAAAGCCUCUGAAGGAAAGGUAGUAUUCUUAAAGUCUCAGAGAAUAACACAAAUUCCAACAACAGUCUCUUCUUGCCAUCAUCAGAGACAUCAGGCCCUGGAGCUCAGAUCUGACCAAGUGACGUAUAUCUCUAGUUCUAAUAUUCUUUAACAGCGUAAUAUAAUGGGUGUCAAAUAUUCUUUUAACCCUUCUGUUGAGAAGUUAUCAUCACAAUAGAAAAUGAAAAAAAGCAGAAAACUCCGUAUGUACAAUUGAGGGGGAACUGGGAAAAAAUUACAUUUAUUGUAGGCCAAUUGUGUAUCAAAUGCCACAGUAUCUAUUUAAUGUCCCAAACAUAGCACAAGGUCAGUGUUUGUUCUCUCCAUUUAUAGAAAAGAAAAAUGAGGCUUGAAAGGUUAAGAGAAACUUUUCAAGCAUCAGAUAGAGGUGGAAGAGUUGAAGCUAGAAUGCAGAUCUUAACCAAUCCUUCCACCACUCCAAAGAGAAACUCUUAUUAAAGAAGAAGAGGAAGAAGAAGAAGAAGGAGAAGGAGAAGAAGGAGAAGAAGGAGGAGGAGGAAAGAAAAGUAAAGAUUGUCCAGUCAUACAAUUAUUUCAUUCACUGUUGUUUGAAUAGAGCAAUUGAUAUCUUAAAUCAAUCUGAUCAACUGCACAAAAAUGGUUGGAUUAUUUAGAAGAUUUGAUUGAAAACCAGUUGUUUCAGCGGUCAUGUGUAGACCUGGACUUAAUAAAUGACCACCUUUGAGUCCCCCAGCUGAAAGAGAACAAAAGAACCCAGAGGCAAAUCAAUGGCAAAUUGCCACCCCAAACAAAUUGCAGUAUGUAAGUUCUGAAACUUGAAUUACCCUUCAAGGAUUAAAGUUCAAGACUGUGAAAAAUUAAAAAUGUUGCCUAGCCUAGGAAAUAGCAUAUGAAUCAAAAAUCUCAUUAGUAAGCUUAAUGGCACUCCUAAUCUUCUACUUUCAUGACAUCUAAACUGUUUUGUUAUUCUUAAUGGACCAAAUCCCCCUUCUGGUAAUGUUCUGAAAAUUCUAUUUUUGUGGCAAUUUAAAAAAUCAUAUGGCAUGUUCUUUAUAUUUGGUUUAUGUAGGAGUUAAGACCACUUCAAACAUACUUUUCUUUCUUUGUCAGAUGGCUAUUUAAUAUUGUGUCAUUCACUUGUUGAAAUAAAAGUAAGUUAAUCUGCAGAAAUACAUGAACACCCCAAAAGGAUUGAAUUGUAUGUUUGAGAAAUGAUAUAUUUUUUUCAAAGUCAGACAUCAAAGGCUCCAUAUUCCAGAAAGUUUAUUUUGAGAAGCUUCAGUCAAAACAGUUUGGGAACUAUGAAAUGAGUCAUUUUUUCUUGAAGAAAUGUAACUUUGUCUAUUCCCACUGCAUUUUUGGUUUGGUAGGAGACAUCUUUAUUCCACAGGAUUUUAAAAGCAUGUUUAAGAUUCCAUAGGUUUAGUAUUACAUCACUAAUGGUUCCUAAUGAGAUCCAGGCAAUAGCAAGACGGGGGGAAAAGAACACACAAAGGCUGAAUUCUACAACACCAAGCACCAUGUAAAAUGUGGAAAAAUCUCCAUGCUUUAUCUAUUGCUGAAGCUAUCUGGAUAAAAAGGGGGCAAUUCAUAUUCAAUCAACCAGACAUGUGGAUGACAUGAUACCCAAUGUUUGGCUCUUCACAACCAGUCAUCUAACAGGCUGAAUUCUUUACUUUUCACGCAGAUGUUUGCUGCCCUGUGGGUACGGUCAAAAUGAACCAUGUAAAUAUCGAGAUAUUUUAUUCAUCCCAUUCAGUGCUUCGGGCCUUAGCUACUUGUUUGGCUUUGUUCUCAUAGGCAUCUUUUAGAUGAAAAUUACAGAAAUUUUCCUUUUGAGAUGAUAUGUACGUACAUAUAGAGGCAUACAUCUUCCCCAAGCUUCCAGCAAUUUUGCAUUUUAAGGGGGCAUGUGGAGGGACAGGUGGGGUGGGCAGGGUGACCCACGGAGAAGUCAUUUUUCUACAGACCUAUUCACCAAUUUCAUCUUAAGGCAAUUCCACAUUGUUGACUUGAGUACAGAGCUUCUACAUGUAAAGUACUAAACUAGUUACAGUGGAGAGGCAGGGAUAAAUUAAAGCAUAGUUUCUGCUUUCAAGGAACACAUGAUCUAGCCAGGGAGAUAGAGGCAACUAACUAUAUCGCCAAAUAGAACAUAGAGUGUAGAAAUAUAAUAGAAAAAUGCAAUGAAUGAAAACCAUACUUAAUUCUCUUCAAAUGAAGUAGAAUAAGUUGUCUGAAGAUUUGGGGAGGAAGUUUGAAAAGGAGAUGGUAAGAUGAGAGGUUUUAGAAAUUUAAAAUAUUUUUAUACAAGGAAGUAUCAAUGCCUUAUUUACAGUGAGUGUUAGCAUUCACUCAGAAAACAACUACAGAAUAUGUUUGAGAUUCCAGGAUUAUGUUAGACAAGUUAGUAUUUUUUUAACAAAUGCAUAACUUAUUAAAUUUUGUCGUUUCUUAUGAAAAAUCACUAUAUUCUGAAUUCAACUGAAGAAUAAAAUUUGUAGAUAGAUACAAAUGUCUUUCUUGUUUGACAAGUGAACUGAUCAAUUCAUAUCUUGUUCAGACAAGAUAUGAUUCUAGAAAUUCUAGAAAGUUUCCCUUCAUCCCAUUUACUCAUUAUCAUUCACCAAAUAAAGCAGAAAUAACAUUUUCUCACACAUCUGGUAAACCUCUUUUGGGCCUAGGCAUUGGCCCAAAUAAAAGAUAGCCAGCAGUCCCUCAUGAAACAGAAAAUUCUAGAAAUAAAAAUGUCUGAUUUCUCUUCAAUAUAUAACCUUAACUUAGCAAGCAGUCUCGUGCCCAAGAUAAUAUAGACCUGUCCAAGGGUUGGCACUGUCUCCAAGAAUUGGGUGAUGUGCCACAAAGUUGUCAGCUGUUUUGUGAUUUUAGACUCAAUAGUUUUAUUGAGACUUACCCCUAUAAGUUUCUGGCCAACAAGAGAGGUCGGUGUGCCACAAUUGAACGAAUGCUUUAAAGAAUUAAUUGUUAAACCUUUGAAAGAAAAAAGGAAAUCAUAGAUAGAAAUGAAGAGAGAGAGAGUCAACUAUCUCUCUCUAUAAACAUCUAUCUCUUUUAUUAAAAUGUUGUUGACUCUUGGCGGGGCACAGUGGCUCACGCCUGUAAUCCUAGCACUUUGGGAGGCCGAGGUGGGCAGAUCACGAGUUCAGGAACCGGAGACCAGGUUGGCCAACAUGGUGAAACCCCAUCUCUACUAAAAAUACAAAAAUUAGCCAGGUGUGGUGGUGCGCACCUGUAAUCCCAGCUACUCAGGAGGCUGAGGCAGGAGAAUCACUUGAACCUGGGAGGCAGAGGUUGCAGUGAGCCAAGAUUGUGCCAUUGCACUCCAGCCUGGGUGACGGAGCGAGACUCUGUCUCAAAAAAAAAAAAAAAAUGUCGUUGACUCUUUUAAAAAGUUAACCCCAAAAAAGUAUAAAGAACAUUAAAAAAAAUCACCUAUAUCUAGCACUCAGAAAUAAAUUGUUAACAUUUGGUGAACAAAAUUCUGGAUAUCUCUAAAAUUAUAAAAAUAGAUGGAUAGGUAGAAAUAGUUUUAUAAAUGUAGUCUAAUAUUUAGAAAUAUUACUUACAAUAAUUUAACAAAGAGAAACAGCUUCAAUGAUAGAAGUUGAUGAACUAAAGAUAAAUGUUUCUUUACAAUGAGAUAUGGGUUUUUAAAAGUUAAAAUUAUGAAAAAAACUAAAAGACUGGGCUUGUUGUUGUUUUAACUACAGAUAUUAUCACUAGACAUUAUCUGAAUCCCUACUAUAAAGCAUAGGGAAAUUUGUACACUUACUUUUUUUCUUACAGUCUCUUUCUUCUCUAUUUAAAAAAUUAUAUUAUUAUUUUACAUUGCCAAGGUAUGUAACAUUUACAUGGUGUAAUCACAAAUUCCAACAGUUGCUUAGCUUUCAUUUUAUAAUUGAGUCAGUUACGCAUAAACGUAAUCUAAGUUUAAUAGAAAACAACUGCAUUCUAGCCUCUAAGGGGAAGUAAAUAGUUUGCAUCAUUUUUCUCCUCCCCUCUCCUUCACUGUUUACUGUGGUUUCAUGUUACCAUUAAAAUUUUUCUAAGGAAUGUAUCCCUUUGUCCAUAUGUUAUAUUGUUAGUCUUUUAAAAAAUCUUUUAAAAUGAUGGAAAUGCUAAUAUAUAUUUUGAAGUCAACACUUCCUACAGUCCACGACCACCCCUUGCUACCCACCAUGUCCCCUAGAAUAAAAUAUUUGACCAAUAUGUCAGAGUAUCACAUAGAUUUUUCCUUUGAAAUUGGGCAUCUAGCAUUUAUGGAAAAUCUCAUUUUAAAAGAGAUUAAUUUUUAAAUGAUAUUAAUUACUAAAGGUGCAAGGUAGUCCUUCAGAACAUCUCAACAUUUGUAGUGGGUAAAGUGUAGACAGAAAGACUUCUUCCAGGAACAGUGAAAAUGAUUUUUCUCCUUGUAAUAUGACGUUACUUCAAAUAUUUUGUAUAUCUUAUAAUGCUGUCUGGAUAAGAUCACCCAACAUCUAGACUUUCAAGUAUCUUUCAGCAGCUUUUAGACCGGAAGCAUUUUAUCUGGUGGAUUAAAUGUGUUCCACCAACUUCUACCCAUGACAGAUUUCUCCUAGAUUUUAUUUUUCACCUUUUUGACAACAUACAACUGAAUAUUUUACCAUGGAAACCAACAGAUUCAGGAGUAAAAUGUCUCCAGGGGCAAUUUUAAGCAUAGCUUUUAGGUCAUUGUCCAUCUAUACGUACAAGAUCAUAGAUCUGUCAGUUUAAUCUUCUUACAAUGUAGACAGACCACCCUCAUCAUUAUGGGCUGAAAAUUACACUGAGAAUAUGUCUUAGAAGUUUCUGGUUACCAUCUGUGUAGACAUGAACUCAAAAUUCUCUCUUAGAUCUGAAUUUCCAUGAAAAUCCAACUAAAGUGAAUAGAAGGGUGAAAAAAGAAGCACAUUAACAAAAUUUCAAAACCAUGCCUGAUUUUCAUUAGAUCCAUUAUUUCAGUUUCCAUUCUCUUUUAGCAUAUACAUUUAUAGGCCAGUGUGUAUUUUCAUGGCUAUCUUCAUUGUUUUCUUAAAACCAGGGUUUUGUUUGUUUGUUUGUUUGUUUGUUUUGUUUUUGAGAUGGGAUUGUCACUAUGUUGCCUAGGAUGGAGUGCAGUGGCACAAUCAUAGCUCACUACAGCUUUGAACUUCUGGGCUCAAGCAUUCCUCCUGCCUCAGCCUCCCAAGUAGCUGGGACCACAGGCACGUGCCAUCACAUCUGGGUCAGGAGCUAGAGGGUUUACGUAUAGUCAUCAUUGGGUACUAAAAUGUUUUUUACAAGGGCUUCUUAGAUGCUGAUUGAAUUUCCCAAAGCUUGGUAGAGAUGAUUUCAAUACAUUGGACUGGGUUGAGGUUGUAAAGAUAGUUAAACACUUUAUUAAGCCAUCUGGAGCAUCCCAAACAUUAAGGCAUGGAUAACAUAAACAACGCAUACAUAUUAAGCAUUUCCUGUGUGCUAGACACAGUGCUAAGCAAAAAGCAUGCAAUUGUAAACUUGAGCGGUAUGGCCCAAGUUCUAUUAGGCUUGCAGUCCAGUAGGGAUGUCAAUAUUAAAUAUUACAAUGUGGUGUGAUAACCCUGCUCUGGAGAGGGUAUCAGGAAUUGUCAGGGCACAGAGAAAGGUAAUAAGUCAAACUUGAGUCUGUUAAGCUUUCCUUAGGAAGUGGUAUCCUAAGGUGAGAUGUGAAGGAAGACUAGGAGUUAGGUCAGCAAGAGGCCAUGGAAUAGAGUGGAGAAUGCUUCUUAAUUCCGCAGAGACUGUCAUUCAUGUUCUAGCAUGUUCUACAACUCCAGGCCUUUUUUUCUUGCUCCUGGGCCUCACGACGGUUCUUACUUCAUCUAGUCAGGCUCCCUGUUCUCAGUUGCUCUUGCCUUGUGUGAAAUCAGAAACACUCGCAGAGGAAAGAGGAGAGGAAAUUAGUCUGGGAUUUUGGAUCUGGUUUAGCGUGGCCAAUUUGGAUUUUCCUGUGACUGAACAGGAUUGAAAUCUCUACCUCACACCCAUGGCACCCAGUCUCCUGUGUUUUCCUCCUAAAGUUUUCCAUUACAAAUAAACAAAAAUGUUGGCAUGUGAACUACUGCCACUGGUUGACUGCUUGGUUUCCAUCUUGCAGUAUGUCAUAGACACCAACUUCACAUCAUGUCCAGCUGCCUCUCGGAGCUCGGCUGCCCACAGAAGCUCUGGCGCAAUGGUGGGUCAUUGAGUUACAUUUUCCAGUGUGGAGUGAUAAUUGCAAGAUUUACUGAGCAGAGAAAUAUGACCCAUCAAAUUCAGUCUAAAAAUAAUUUUUGCUCUGAAAAAGAAAAUCGAAUUACCUUGCUCUUCACUAUGAAAAAUUGGCUUCAUCUGGGUCAAGAGACAUGGAACCUUUCUUUGAAGUAGACCCUACAUUCCAAAAUAUCACUGGCAAACUCUGGGGCCUGCUUCUGAUUAAAUAAUUGACAUAAACCUCCGCCGAAUAAACACUGAACCCUUCAAAAACAGAGAAGUAAAUGAAAAAUAAAAAUGCAUCUAUGCUUUAAGUAGAAGAUCUUCUGCAAUAAUUUGUUACCAGAAAGCAAUUUACUUUUCCUUUUGUAAACCAGCAUUAAAACCUAAGAAGAAAGCACACUGGGUGAAACUCUAGUUGAAACUUCGAAAUAGUCUUAAAUCUAUUCUACAUAUUAUCAGAUUUAAUGUUGACCUUAAGAGAGUGCUUCCAUAUUUAUGGUUUGCUAUCUUAUCCCUCAAAACUAAAUUUAUUACUCAUAGAAUAUGAAGCUUAAAAAGUAAAAUAUUGUAUUUUCCUGAGAAUAUUUUGGUCUUUAAAUUGACAACAGUAUAAAUACAUUGUAAGAAAAAAAAUAGCAACCCAACUGUGUGUAUGUAUACCUUGCCUCUUUCUUCAAGGAAUGCUAUCUGUGCAUAUAAAACUCAAAAACAGUUAACCAAGAAAUAAAGAAAAAGAGUAAACUCUUUUGGGUUUAUUACAGAUGAGGUUAUAACAAAAUGGGCUGACGGCAAGUGUGACAAAAAGUAUUGUUUGAAAAUUCUAAAUCUUGUUGCCACAAAACUGUGACUUUUUAGAAAUAUAUGGGGAAAUUUUAUUGUAAUAGAAUGGAAUUGAAUUUAUUGAAAUUUUAUUGUAAAUGAAUAAAAUUUUGAAGAGGUCUUCAAUAAUGGAAUGAGUAAGAUAAUUACUACUUCACUUAGCUUUCUAAAAACUUUGCACCAAUGGAUUUCUGCCUUCCCAGAUGAUUUUUUUCUCGUUUAGCUUUUGUAUACUUUGAAAAAUAGAACAAUGACUUUGUUCUGUCCUUCAUAGGUUGGGAUUUAUAAAAAUGAUUUUGUGUGCCUCUGCAAAAUGUGGAGAAGUACUGAAUAAACAACAAACAAUCAGGUGUUCUUCAGUUAAAGGGACAGUUUUUAGAGGAACCCCGUGGUUGUAAUGAAUUAUUUCUUGUUUUAAAAAGACCUUCUUACCUGAAUAACGUUGUGAAUCACACGAAUGUCAAUUUCUUGGGUUUUGGUAUUGCACUGUAGUUAUGCAAGAUGUUACUACUGGGGAAAACUGGGUACCUGGGACCUUUCUAUACUAUUUUGUAACUUCCUGUUAAUCUUUUACUUUAUUUCAAAAUAAAAAUGUUUAAAAAUGAAAAAAAUUAAAAUAAAUGUCAGUGGUCAAAAAGAGCAAAUAAAGAAAAAAGUCCUUUCUAACCAGCUCAAGAGGGUGUAUGUCCAUAUGUUGAGAUUCUGUUUGUUAAAUAUAAGUCUUCUUUUAAGGUAGUCUUGUAGAAGCUCUUAGCAAGCUUGCCUACCUUGCAUUCCUCCAAAGAUGCACUCUUUACAAUUUUGACCAUAAAGGAGAAUAGCAGAGAUAAAAAAUUUAAAUAAAAAUAAAACCGAAGCAGUAACAACAUCCUAGCAAAUGGGAACAGCUCUCCGUUGGUCUGUGCUCUACAAUACUAUUAUAAUAUUUGUGACAACAAGUAAUCCAAUUCAAUGAAUUGUCUCUAAUCCUCUGACAGCUACUUUUCCAAAAACAGAAGACAUAAUUUUUUAAUAAAGCCAGGAAGGAAACAGGUUUCACAAGAGAAGUUCAAGAAGACUGAAGCUCAUUGUUCUACCUUCUGACACAGUAGAGUCUCACCUAUUGAAGCCAUGGGAUUGUCAAUGAAAUGUAACUAGUAUGGGAAACAGUGGAAAUGUCUUCUCCAGUGUCUAUUUGAAUACAUUGAUCCUAUGAUGGCACAGUUCACUUCAAAGUGUGCUUACUCCCUACAUUUUACCCAUUCGCCUGGAAACUUCUAAAAUCCUCUGACCAGCUCAGUCAGAGCAACAGCAUAAGCAUAAAUCUUCCAAAUGAGUUAAUGUUGCAUAUACAAAACAGUCUACUGAUUGCUUAAAUUGGCUGAAGAGAAAGGGGCUAUUCAGGAAUAGGUUUGGUUUCUGAGCAUGUACACAUGAUCUAAGAAUGAUGUCAUAAGCUCUUUCAAAUAUUUUGGGGUAGCUUUUAAAUUGCAGACUAAAUGGAACUAGUCAAAUUCGCACCUUUUCCAGCAUGUGAAAAUUAAUAAGUGGAAAAUCCAAGAAUCUAGCAAUUUCCUUCAAUAAAUGGCUGCCAAUGGACAAACUGUGAAGCUCUUGGAUUGACAUGGCCCCUGUGUUCCUCAUCCUUACUUGAUGCAGUGCUAGGGACACAUCUAUUGAUUUGCAACAUCACAUUAUAUAAUCAGACACUGAGAUAAAUUCCAAUUUGACAUAAAAUUUAGCUUUUUUAAAGCCUAUAGUCCAUAUUUGUGCAUAACAAACUCUUGCAUGAUUCCAGAAAAAUAAAAUUUUAAAGCUGGAGAUGACUACUCCUGGAGGGAAGUUAUACAACUGAACUAAAUUAGUAAAACUUUAGAUAGGCUGAGUGAAAGCAGGAUAGCACUGAGCAAAACAAAUGUUCUGGAUCUAGUUAAGAGGAGACAAGACAAGUUCACAAGUGAAUGACCCUGGUUAUCACAAUUGCUAUUUUGAAAGAAAGAUUCUUAAGGAAUUGAUAUUUUACAAAGGGGAUAUAUGCCAGUUCGAGGAUAGUUUUUAAAAAAUUAAUAGGCUUUGUUUUUCAAAGGAUAGAUAUCUUAAAAUGUUUUAUUUGAUAAUUGGUUCUUUUGAGAAUAUUGUAUAUUUGUAAAUGGUGGUAAGUAUUCUGUCUAUAUUUUCAUUUUCUCUAAACACCAAAUUUCUCAGUUCCACUAAUUCAUUGAAUUUUUCAGUUUAGUAAAAAUCCUAGGCCUUGCUAGCUUCCAGAAGAUAGGUAAAAUUUUGGUAUAGGACCUCAUAGGCUCAGCUAAACAUUCCUUCAACCUUAAAAAACAUGAGAAAUGGUUUAGAGGGUCACCCCUCUAAACAGUGAGACUUCAGAUAGGUGAAUGAUAUCAUUACAGUGCAUCAGAGCUAUACAGCCAAAACCAUGUUUAGUAAAUAUUCACAAAGCAAGAGUGACAUGUACCAAAACCCCAAGCAGAGUUUUCCUUAUCCAAGAACAAUGACGGGAAACUUCUCCAGGAGGCACUGGGACUGGGAAGUCCCACUAGCACUGGGGAAAAAAGAGGCAGAAAUUCUACAACUUGAGGACCAGCCGGAGAGACAACAUGGAGUAUAUGUUCUCCUUUCAUCUCUUCUUGUUCUUUGUGUCACAGACAUACAAGCAAUUUGAUAGUUGCUUCUCAGACAAUAUGCACAGCCUAAAUUCCAACCAUAUUAGUGUGUGUUGGGUUCUAACCCACUUCAUCCCCAAAGGCCAGCUAGAGUUGCAGCAAUCCUUGGCAUCACUUGUCCGGACAUGAUGAGGACACAGUCACCUAAGGGACAGCAAGCAACCUAGUCAAAAGUACUGUGGCUGGCCCAUGCUCCUGACAUAAGAAAUGAAAAGCUAGACCACGGCAAAACUGAGAAUAAAGGGUAGGAAGCAGGGGCCAAUGUAGGCCAAUCCCAAAAUCUAGGAAGCCACAGUUAAAGACUCAGAUUCAGGGCUUGAAAGGAACCUAGAUGUCACGUGAUCCAGCUCCCUUAUUUUACAGAGAAGAAAUUCAAAUUCAAACUGGGGGAGGCAUUUAUCCAAGGACACUCAGUCAAGACCAAUACCCAGGUUUCUUGACUCUGUUGAGUGUUAAUUCCAGGAGUCAACAGGCAAACAGUGAAUCAACAAUCAUAGAGAGACUGUUGCUUCUUUUCCAACAGGGGUGUGCCUUCACUCUUUAUCUGACCUUCUUCUGGAUACAGCAAACACUUGUGGACCAGCUGCACUGAAGCAUUAAACAAGCUGAGAAUUCAUUCUGAAUAUUUGCAGAUACAUAAAACUCCAGGUGUAACUCCAAGCAAAACAUGAUGAAAGAGGGAAUUUGGAUAAACCAUGGAAUGAUGACAUCACAUUGAGCACCAUCUGGUAUAAACAUUUUUGCUUUCUGCAGUGACCAGAUGAAGGAAAUAUGGUGCCGUGUGCUUCUUCAGUGAUUAAUUCAGGAAAGCCUUUGCUGAGCUGAAAUCCAAAAUAGGAAGAACCCACCUUCCACAUGUUCAAGAAGCUUGUGAUCCCAGGGAUGACACUGCCCUUUUCCUCUGAAGGAAAGAAGUUUCCCCUGACCAUAAUGCCAAAGCUACAAACACUUACAUACCUCCAUAAUUUUGCACUGAACUCUGCUCACAUAGUACACAAUAAUUUCUGCACUACUUUGUUCCUGUUCCAAAUUCUAGUGGCUUGAAAUCCAAAAUAGAGGAAGUUAAAUCAUAGCAGUUGUACACUUUAGAGAAACUUUGAAUUUGGCUACUAGAGAUUUUCUAAGGUAUUGCUUUUCUUAAUUUAUAUGAAAACUAUUGAGCUAGGUUCUAGAUUAAGUGCUGGUGAUUCAGACAUGAGUAAGUCAUGAUGCCACCUCUGGAGUGUUUCAGGGAAGACAGUUACAUAAAAACUAAGCUGUAAUAGAAUUUAAUAAGUCCUUUAAUAGAGGUGCAGAGUUCUGUGGGAACGUAGAAGGAAGAAUAAUUGCUUCUUCAGUUUCAAGGAGGACUUCACAGGGCAGAAGGCAUUUGGGCAAGUCUUGAAGGAUAAGCCAGGACUCCCCAAGUGGGGUGAGGGCACUUGAGGUGGAGAACAGAUGAAUAAAAGCAGCAAAUGAAUAAAAGCA